GCUCGCAUAGCUCAGGCGGUAGAGCACUUCAUUGGUAAUGAAGAGGUCCCAGGUUCAACUCCUGGUGUGAGCA
rnacentral:tRNA from 1 species